rnacentral:rRNA from 1 species
CCUACGGGCGGCAACAGUCGAGAAUCAUUCACAAUGGGGGAAACCCUGAUGGGGCGACGCCGCGUGGGGGAAUGAAGGUCUGCGGAUUGUAAACCCCUGUCGUGUGGGAGCAAAUUAAAAAGAUAGUACCACAAGAGGAAGAGACGGCUAACUCUGUGCCAGCAGCCGCGGUAAUACAGAGGUCUCAAGCGUUGUUCGGAAUCACUGGGCGUAAAGCGUGCGUAGGCUGUUUCGUAAGUCGUGUGUGAAAGGCGCGGGCUCAACCCGCGGACGGCACAUGAUACUGCGAGACUAGAGUAAUGGAGGGGGAACCGGAAUUCUCGGUGUAGCAGUGAAAUGCGUAGAUAUCGAGAGGAACACUCGUGGCGAAGGCGGGUUCCUGGACAUUAACUGACGCUGAGGCACGAAGGCCAGGGGAGCGAAAAGGAUUAGAUACCCUGGUAGUC